GGAUAGGAGAAAUCAUCAUAAGAAAGAGUUUUUUGCAAUUUGUACUCUUUUUUUUUAAAAAUGUGAUAGAUGGGGCAUGUGAUCUUAAGAUAGAGUUUUUGAGGGUGUGGACUCUAAAUGCCAACAAAUAAAAAAAAAUUAUGGUGGGGUGUGAGAGAGGUAGAGGGGGUUUGAGCACCUUAUUUUUUGGGGGUUUUAAAAUAAGAGAUUAUG
rnacentral:lncRNA from 1 species